rnacentral:lncRNA from 1 species
UCCAUCUCAAAAAAAAAAAAAAAGGUCACAAAUCCUCUGAACGCACAGGCAUAAAGGGUUGUGGGGCUCGGUCACUUCCUAGAACACAAAAAACCCUUUCGGAAGUUUGGUUGGGUUGGUCACGGGACAAGGCUGGAGAGAGGGUGAGGGCACACAUUUGGAUGUGUUUGGGAGGAGUUUAAGUGUAGUCCUAUUAAUAUUGUUUGAGAUAAGUUAAAAUUGUUUCCUGGCAAUUCAUCAGAAGCAGUGUGGGGUGUUGGCAAGAGGCCUCCUCUGGGGAAAGAACACUGGGUUCUGUCUCCUCUGGCCUAUGACCUUAAGCAAGUUAUUAGCUUCCUCAAGCCUCAAUCUUCUCAGCGGUAAAAUGGGGAUGAUAAUUAUCUGCAAAGCAAGGCUAAUAUCAGCCUUGGGUUUCCCACAGGGUGGUUAUGAAGAUAAAAUGCAAUAAAUGUGUGUGAGGGCAACUGACGAGCCAGGAAGCCUUGGCAUCCAGAGUUAUUACUGGGACGUCAUGGGAAAUGAGGAUAUGGGAACAGAGUAUUUAUGCAUUUAUUCAAACUCAUCUCUAACAACCGUGCUUUGAAGGCUGGCUGCAUCCCAGGCCCUACAGGUGAACCGUGACUCUCAGCUCUCAGCUUCAGCCCCUGCUGUAGUGGCGGCAGCAGCAGAGGCUCACGUAGCCUCAAGCAGUAGGGGUUUUGUUUAAGGAUUCGGGUGCCCCAUGGUUUGGGGGUUUUGUUUUUAUUUUGCUGCAUGAUUUGGAUUCAAGAAGAAGGAUCUGUAGGACAGUGGGCUCCCGGGUCUGCCUUUGCCCUCAUAGCCUGCAGCAGAGCAGGACGUUCGCUUUCCCUUCUCCGCCUGUGUGUUCUUCCUGCACUGCCUAACUGCUGCUUGCUCAUUUGUGCUUCCGUGUCACCCCUCCUCAGCCCUCUGAACUCUGCACGUCAGGACUUGGCACACUUCCUAACUGCUGCUUACUCAUUUGUACUUCCGCGUCACCCCUCCUCAGCCCUCUGAACUCUGCGCUUGGACUUGGUGUGACUUCCCUUCCCCGCCUAUUCUCUAGAGGCAGUCUCUUGGUGACUCCUGGUUUGGGUCAGGGCACGCCUUAGGUCUCUGGAUGGCUACCAACCCCAGGUUCCCUCAGCUCUAGCCCCAUAAGAGAGGAGGCCUCAGGAGCGCCUAGGGCAGCCCUUUCAGCCUGGGCUGUGGGAAGGGAAGGUGGACAGAGAGGAGACCCCAUGCCUUUGUUCCCUGUUGAUGCAGAAGCAUUCUAGGCUCUGUCCCUUAUUCCUGCUGUGGGCUGAAGCUUCAGGCAAGGUGCUCUACAAACUUCAGUUGCCUCAUCUAUCAAACAGUAACGUUUAACAUUCCAGAGACAGAAGUUGAUCUUUGGGACUUUUUUUGAUUUUAAGAUCUAGGCUGGCUGGGGCGGUGGCUCAUGCCUGUAAUCCCAGCACUUUGAGAGGCCGAGACCGGUGGAUCACGAGAUCAUCAGGAGAUGAGACCAUCCUGGCUAACAUGUUAGCCUGGCCUCCAGAGCUCUUGGACUGCAGCACCCAUAAUGAUGGCCAAAGCCGCCCCCACGGCGACUCCUCCUGCUGAAGCAAAGUCAGGCAGAACAAUAAGAUGAGCAUGGUGGUGCAGGCCUGUAAUCUCAGCUCCUCAGGCGGGAGGAUCACUUGAUCCCCGGAAGUUUGAAGCUGGACUGCGCUGACCGCACCUGUGAAUACCACUGCCCGUCAAUCAGCCUAGGGGAAACAUUCUCGAGUGCGAGCAUGACGGCUUAGGUUGAUGUUUUUCAAAUUUUCCCAAUGAUGAGUAUUGUAAGGGACCAAAAUAAAAAAAUGCCAAUGCCUAGUCCCCUCUCAUCUAGAAUAAUUCCAUAGGUGAUGAUGGGGUCCAGGACUCUGAAUUUCGUCAAUUUUACCAAAUACUUCGUCCAGUGAGGCAAAUAUGGAAACACUUGGAUCACCUCUUCGUGAACGCACAUCAGCGCAUACGCCGGCUGUUUUUAUCAGGCGCUCACCCCUCAUCCAAUGGCGUGACUAGUUGUGGGUGGAGCCCGAAAUCUGGCUGCCUAGAGAAGGCUGAAGGUCCAGUUAUAGCAUAACUAAUGUUUCCCCAGAGCUCACAUACGUGCCAAGCACCGUGCUACAGCCUCCACAGCCCCUUCAUUUAAUCUUCCCGAUGGGCCUAUGAAAUAGGUGCUCCUGGCCCGCACCGUGGCUCAUGCCUCUAAUCCCAGCACUUUGGGAAGCUGAGGAGGGAGGGUCGCUUGAGUCCAGGAUUUCAAGACCAGCCUGGGAAACACACAGAGAGCCUAUCUCUACGAAAAUUUAAAAAAUUAGCCGGGUGUGGUGAUGCCUGACUGUGGUCCCACCUACUUAGUAGGCUAAGGUGGGAGGAUCCUCUGAGCCCGGGAAGCUGAGGCUGCAGUUAGCACUGCACUCCAGCAUGGGCGACAGAGUGAGACCCUGACUCAAAAAAAAAAAAAAAAAAGAAUAGGUGCUACUUGUAGUUCCCAUUUUACCCACCAAGAAACUGAAGAUCUGAGAGACAAAGCCUACAGGGUGACCGCUAGUCACUGGUAGGGCUGGGAUUUGAACAGGGGCGGUUUAACAACUGAUCUCUCGACCAUAAUGCGUGUUGCCCAAGAAAAAAGACCGUCCUCACGGUCCUAUCCACUCCGGACUUUGCAAUUCCGUUAUUUCGUAAAUUGAGGCCUAUAAAUAGUUUGCUUACC